CACUUACAGUUGUCUCGUCCUCGUGAAGCACCUGGUCGUAACCACUCAGGGCCACGCAGAAGAUGAUGGCAGUCACGUCCUCAAAGCAGUGGAUCCACUUCUUCCUCUCUGACCUCUGACCUCCCACGUCAAAGAGCCUGGAGAAAGAGAGGCAAAGUCCGAUAUCAGAUAUGAAGCUGGAAUGCUGAUUAUGCAUAACACGACCAAAUCCUACCUGAAAUGAAGGUUUUUGAAAGUGAAGUGAGUUUCCACAAUGCCGGUGGUCUUCACUCGAGUUCUCAGUAUGUCCUGCUCUGUGGGCUGGUAGUCUGCCGCCCCGAUCCGGUCUAAACUGUCCAGGUAGCUGAUGAUGGCAGGGAUCGAUAAGGUGGAUUGGACUCUACAGAAACAUCAUAAACACGUGCAGCUUUCACACUGCGCUCUCCAUGUCUGACUCACUAUUGGGCCGAGUCGUUGAGCUGGUAUUCGCGGGCCCGGUUGAAGCACUCCUGUGUCCCGGCGUCGGCCCAAACACGCUUCAUGGCGCUGAGGAGCUCUGCAGAGUAUGGCUCUGUGUCCUCCAUGCGACUCACGACAUCGCACACCAGCUUGGCAUCCGCCUGCACAAUAGACAAAAGUUCAUGUCGGAUUUUAUUUUGUGCACUGCAUAAAUUUGCUGUGCGCCGAAAACGCUGGAGCAGUGCACGACUGCGCAUGCGUGCAGCUUAGGGGGAACAUUGGAGGUGACCAGUGAUGUCAAAGAGGAAAGAUGUGAUGAUGACCAUAGAAUUGGAAAUUCAACUCAUCAUGACAUAGGAAAGUAGAACACACCUCUCUGUCUUGGCUACUCACUACAACAUGCCUAAGUGCAGAAUUACAAUUAUAAUAAUAGAAGAAAAAUAGAAUGUACACAGUGAAUUGUGCUGUGCUUAGUGUUAAUGGAACAGUAAUGAAUAGUGGGCACGCAAUUGUUUUUCUGUUUUAAUAUACAGCAGUUAGCUUCUUUUUACGCUUGCAUGUCAUUCAAUAAUGUUAAAAAGCUUGAUUCAGGAAGCUGACAAGCCUUCUUCACUUCCUGAGAGGCUGUGCUGCCAUCAAACUAAAGGGUGAGUACACAACUUCAUGUUUUGAAGUUCUAAUAUUCGUACUUGUUUUUCCACUUGUAUGACGUCUAAGAAUGAAUCUCCACUCCCCCACGCUACACGUCAUUAGUUAUUCAAGUUAGGGUUGAGUUUUAAUAUACAAGUACAGUGGCUACCCCCACAUUAGCGAUUCAGCAUUUCCGACCCAGCAAAUUAGCGGAUUUUUGGUUGAAAAUUUGAUUUUUUUUUUUCCUCACAGAAAACAUCUCUUUCACCCUACGUCGGUAAUACUUUAAAAAUACGUGACAAUACAGGUAAAAUGUACAACAUACAUGUACCACCCCACAAUUUUUACAUGUUUGUCUUUUGCACUUUGUUCGGUGGUCCUUGAACGCACCAUAGUUGUGUGUUGAGAUGCAAAAGUGAGACUUACAAUAACUUUAAAUCCAUCUGUUUUAUCGAACAUCUUACGUUAUCAUUCAUUAGUGGUGAGUACCUUUACAUUUUAUACUUGAAAUGCGUUUAGUAAGUGUGUGAGCCAUUUUAGUGCUUAAACCUGGACUGUGUCGCAAGUGAACAAGGGCAAUUGGAGAGAGAGAAGGGGAAGGGGUCUGAUCUAAUUAUUACAAUAGUCGAUUUUAUUACAAAAGUCUGAGGAGAACGUGACAUACAAGCUAGCAGGAGGGUUUGGACAGUGGGGAGUGAGCCGUGUGUCAAAAUUUUUUAUGGGCGCUGGUGGGUCCAGAACAGAAUCUCCGCAAAAAGCGGGGCUCUACUGUACAGUGGGUGACCUAUUUUUACACUUUUAUGACAUUUAAGAAUGUCUCUUAAAACAAUACUGUUAAAGGUUUUAUGGUGGCAACAGUUUGACGCUGGAACAGGUAAUUUCCUGAGGGAACUGUGCUAUCAAAAUCAGAACAAAUCCAAGGUAAAGCAGCAUUCCCAAAACGUAUUGUGUUUAACCUCAAGGGGAUCUACUCUAUUGUGAAUUGAAGACAAAAAUAUGUCUUCCUUUCCAGCAUUUCUAUGUAAUUCUAUUACAUUUCACCGCCCCCCCCGUGUCAUCACACUGGAGCAUUUCAAGAUGGAGGCGACUAACUUUUCGAUCCUUGUCUCCAAACUCGAUUCCCAGUGAGUCCAUGGCUCGGAGGAUAGCUGCCAAGCUCUGGAUGGUGUUGCUGUAGACCACAGGCUUAUACUGCUUCACGUCAUCCCCAGAGAAGCCAUCUUCAUGGAUGAUCCUGCAGGCGCACACAGACAUUAACACAAGGAAAUGUCCCAUUCUGCCAUAUGUUCCUGCGGCCCUCUGCGGUUGUCUUUUCACCUCAUGGGGAUAAAGCCUUGCAUAUUGUGGAAGUGAUUCACGCUUUCUCUCUAACACACGCGUCCGACUAAAAGACAUGACUGUAUUAUGUGGUGGACCCUCAUUACCGCCAUCCAUAACUGGACGGUUAUGUGAUAUUUAAGCAAUGUAUAAUUUAUGCCUGGCAAUGAAGUCUUUAUCCAUCACUCUGCACAGCACUCUGCUGCUCCGUUUUAAGACAGAUUGUGACUCUUUAAAGGUUAUCACCAUCACUUUCAGCUAACACAUGCUGCAUGGCACUCAUCACUUCCUGUAAUACAUACUUCCUUUGUUCCUGGAGUUUAACCUCCAUGUACACACAAGGUGCUGUGUCACACAAGGAAAAGACCGUGGCAAGGACACCUCGGGGCGUUAUUGUGGCUUAGCAUUUCCCGCAUGGGAGAAAAUCUGAAAGAGGAGGAGCUUUUUAAUAUUUUGUGCGGUGGCUGUGUGCGCAAUUGUGUAAUUAUGGAUGAGAAGUGGAUAAGAGAGAAGAGGAUUGAAUUAAUAAUAGUGAUGGCUGCAAACAACCUUGUCUUGUUUGUAUUUGGAGCAACCUUUAUGUAAAAUAUCUAUUUUGGAACACUUACUCAUAGGCCACCACCAGUCAAACAGGCUAUUUUUACACCCAAAUACUGUAGUCGUCCAUUCUUCUGAAAGGUUGCUGGAAUCAGUCUUUUCAAAGCUUUCCAGCAUCCGCAAAUGAUGAGAACUUCACUGACAAAUCACACUCAAGUGUAAAAAUAGAAAUCCAGACAUAUUUGCAGCUGCGAGUGACUCGCUAAGUUAGUGCAUCGCCCCCAAAUGGGCUGGCCUUUUUCAAUUCAAUUAUUCAUAUCCUAGGAAGCUAACUUUGUGCCAGUAAAAACUUACAAAUAUGAGACAUUUGGAGGCGUUCACUUCCUGCAAAUGAAUCUAGACGCUCAACUCACUUCACACUCAUUUUAACAACAUCAAGACAAUCACUAUUCAAUCAUCUGUGCUUAAAAUAUUGACAUCCUAUCUGCUUGUUUGGCCUAAACAAACUAGAAAAUAAACAGGCAUUGCAAUUUGGCAGGAGGGUGUUGCGUUCUGGGUAGUUACGGUAAAGAAAGUCCUCAAAGUAAAUAGGUGAAGGAAGAAGAGGAAGCAGCAAUGGGGGAGGGAGGACGCACUCGCAAGGACGGUGUAGAUGUGGAGAAGAUUCCCGUUAGAAAAUAUACAAUAGACGGUGAUUUAUCAUGAAAACAUCUCGAAACUUCACUAAGAGGUUUAGUGCGAACUACAACAGUGAUUUAAAACAUCAAAGGGUGAUUUAGCUUAGCCUAGGGACGCUUUAGAUGCGGUUUUCAAGCCAUAUUUCUACGUAAAUCCGCUUUAUAGGCAAAGUACUCCCGCCGAUAUCGGGCACUUAAAGCCAUUAAGAUUAAAAGCAGAGGUAUUCACUAAUGGAGCUGUGCUGACCUCACUCAGAUCCACACACACGAACAACACCCAAAUCGUCCGUCACACGCUCCAACCAUGAAGCCGACAACGUCUCGUUAAGUACAUUUCAGCACCCGACGGAGCGAACAGCA